AAUGACUGUAGGUGAAAGCUUACAUCUCUUCGGAGCAUUUACGUAGGUGCUGCAUGGUUGUCGUCAGCUCGUGCCGUGAGGUGUCGGGUUAAGUCCCAUAACGAGCGCAACCCCUACCUUUACGUUGCCAUCAGGUUAAGCUGGGGACGUCUAAAGGAACUGCCUACGCAAGUAGUGAGGAAGGCGGGGAUGACGUCAAAUCAGCACGGCCCUUACGUCCAGGGCUACACACGUGCUACAAUGGCCGAUACAGAGGGCAGCUACCUGGUGACAGGAUGCAAAUCUCCAAAGUCGGUCUCAGUUCGGAUCGGAGUCUGCAACCCGACUCCGUGAAGUUGGAUUCGCUAGUAAUCGCGCAUCAGCCAUGGCGCGGUGAAUACGUUCCCGGGCCUU
rnacentral:rRNA from 1 species